GGUUACUGCUAUCGAGGUUCGACUAAGCCAUGCGAGUCGAAUGUAGCAAUACAUGGCGUACUGCUCAGUAACACGUGGACAACCUACCCAUAGGCCUGGGAUAACCCCGGGAAACUGGGAAUAAUACCGGAUAUCUCGCGAACGCUGGAAUGCGUCGCGAUAGAAAGCUCCGGCGCCUAAGGAUGGGUCUGCGGCCUAUCAGGUAGUAGUGGGUGUAACGUACCUACUAGCCUACGACGGGUACGGGUUGUGAGAGCAAGAGCCCGGAGAUGGAUUCUGAGACACGAAUCCAGGCCCUACGGGGUGCAGCAGGCGCGAAAACUUUACAAUGCUGGAAACAGCGAUAAGGGGACCUCGAGUGCCAGGAUACAAUCCUGGCUGUCGUAAUGCCUAAAAAGCAUUGCAUACAAGGGCCGGGCAAGACCGGUGCCAGCCGCCGCGGUAACACCGGCGGCUCGAGUGGUAACCGCUAUUAUUGGGUCUAAAGGGUCUGUAGCCGGCUGACUAAGUCUCUUGGGAAAUCUGACAGCUUAACUGUCAGGCUUUCAGGAGAUACUGAUCGGCUCGAGACCGGGAGAGGUGAGAGGUACCUCAGGGGUAGGGGUGAAAUCUUGUAAUCCUUGAGGGACCACCAGUGGCGAAGGCGUCUCACCAGAACGGAUCUGACGGCAAGGGACGAAAGCUAGGGGCACGAACCGGAUUAGAUACCCGGGUAGUCCUAGCCGUAAACGAUACUCGCUAGGUGUCGGCCACGGUGCGACCGUGGUCGGUGCCGUAGGGAAGCCGUGAAGCGAGCCACCUGGGAAGUACGGCCGCAAGGCUGAAACUUAA
rnacentral:rRNA from 1 species